UUACUGUUAUUACUGUUAUUACUGUUAGUACUGUUAUUACUAGUUUAUUACUGUUAUUACUGUUAGUACUAGUUUAUUACUAGUUUAUUACUGUUAGUACUGUUAUUACUAGUUUAUUACUGUUAGUACUGUUAUUACUUUUAUUACUGUUAGUACUGUUAUUACUAGUUUAUUACUGUUAGUACUGUUAUUACUGUUAUUACUGUUAGUACUGUUAUUACUAGUUUAUUACUGUUAGUACUGUUAUUACUUUUAUUACUGUUAGUACUGUUAUUACUAGUUUAUUACUGUCAUUACUAGUUUAUUACUGUUAGUACUGUUAGUACUAGUUUAUUACUGUUAGUACUGUUAUUACUAGUUUAUUACUGUUAUUACUGUUAUUACUGUUAGUACUAGUUUAUUACUAGUUUAUUACUGUUAGUACUGUUAUUACUAGUUUAUUACAUCCUACAGUGUAAUACAUUAUGUUUAUUACAUCCUACAGUGUAAUACAUUGUUAUUAUAUCCUACAGUGUAAUACAUUAUGUUAUUACAUCCUACAGUGUAAUACAUUAUGUUUAUUACAUCCUACAGUGUAAUACAUUAUGUUAUUACAUCCUACAGUGUAAUACAUUAUGUUAUUACAUCCUACAGUGUAAUACAUUAUGUUUAUUACAUCCUACAGUGUAAUACAUUAUGUUAUUACAUCCUACAGU
rnacentral:lncRNA from 1 species